UGGGGGAUAUUGCACAAUGGGCGAAAGCCUGAUGCAGCGACGCCGCGUGGGGGAUGAAGGCCUUCGGGUUGUAAACUUCUUUUGCUCUGAACAAGGCAUGCCUUUGGGGUGUGUUGAGUGUAGGGGUUGAUUAGCGCCGGCUAACUACGUGCCAGCAGCCGCGGUAAUACGUAGGGCGCGAGCGUUGUCCGGAAUUAUUGGGCGUAAAGGGCUUGUAGGUGGCUGGUUGCGUCUGUCGUGAAAGCUCAUGGCUUAACUGUGGGUUUGCGGUGGGUACGGGCCGGCUUGAGUGCAGUAGGGGAGGCUGGAAUUCCUGGUGUAGCGGUGGAAUGCGCAGAUAUCAGGAGGAAUACCGGUGGCGAAGGCGGGUCUCUGGGCUGUUACUGACGCUGAGGAGCGAAAGCGUGGGGAGCGAACAGG
rnacentral:rRNA from 1 species